rnacentral:rRNA from 1 species
AUAUCAAUAAGCGGAGGAAAAGAAACCAACCGGGAUUGCCUCAGUAACGGCGAGUGAAGCGGCAAGAGCUCAAAUUUGGAACCGUACGCGGGUUGUAAUUUGAAGGCCAGUACUGGAGCGGGCGCCGCCUAUGUUCCUUGGAACAGGACGUCACAGAGGGUGAGAAUCCCGUGUGGCGGUUGCCUCAACCGUGGAGUACGCGCCGACGAGUCGAGUUGUUUGGGAAUGCAGCUCUAAGUGGGUGGUAAAUUCCAUCUAAAGCUAAAUAUUGGCGAGAGACCGAUAGCGAACAAGUACAGUGAUGGAAAGAUGAAAAGCACUCUGAAGAGAGAGUGAAACAGUACGUGAAAUUGUUGGAAGGGAAGGGCAUGGGGGUAGUCUGAGCAAUCGGGAAGGGGGAAUUCGUGGGGGUGUAUAAUGGCGCGGGAAUGUAGCUGCUUGCAGUGUUAUAGCCCGUGUUGAUGCGCCGCUGUGGAUUUGUUCUUCCAUAAUGUUCCCAUGCCGC